rnacentral:rRNA from 1 species
AAAAGCCCUCAAUCCCGCCAAUCCCCGGGUGUAUAAAGAACGCCUGAGGGUUGUAAACCAUUUUCAAUUGAGAAGAAAUUUUUAAGGAUAAUAACUUGAAAUUUUGACGUAAACUAUAGUAGAAGCACCGGCUAUUUCCGUGACACCAGCCGCGCUUAUACGGGGGUUGCGACGUUAAUGGGAUUUCCUGAGUAAAAGCGCGAGUAGGUCGCUUGGUAAGUUAGAAGUGAAAGGCCCGGGUUUAAGAGGUGAACUGCAUUUGAUACUGGAAACUGAAGAAUAUUAGAGGCAAGGGAAUUUCUGAAGUAGCGAGGAAGCGGUGAGAUAUAGAAAGAAACACCGGUGGGGAAGGGGGCUUGCUGAUUAAUAUCCAUUGAGGGCGAAGGAGGGGGAGCAAACAGGAUACAUACUGGUACUCCCGCUCCA